GAUGAACGCUGGCGGCGUGCCUAAUACAUGCAAGUCGAGCGAACGGACGAGAAGCUUGCUUCUCUGAUGUUAGCGGCGGACGGGUGAGUAACACGUGGAUAACCUACCUAUAAGACUGGGAUAACUUCGGGAAACCGGAGCUAAUACCGGAUGAUAUUUUGAACCGCAUGGUUCAAAAGUGAAAGACGGUCUUGCUGUCACUUAUAGAUGGAUCCGCGCUGCAUUAGCUAGUUGGUAAGGUAACGGCUUGCCAAGGCAACGAUGCAUAGCCGACCUGAGAGGGUGAUCGGACACACUGGAACUGAGACACGGUCCAGACUCCUACGGGAGGCAGCAGUAGGGAAUCUUCCGCAAUGGGCGAAAGCCUGACGGAGCAACGCCGCGUGAGUGAUGAAGGUCUUCGGAUCGUAAAACUCUGUUAUUAGGGAAGAACAUAUGUGUAAGUAACUGUGCACAUCUUGACGGUGCCUAAUCAGAAAGCCACGGCUAACUACGUG
rnacentral:rRNA from 1 species